CAGCCUCAUAGGCAGAAGAGACUUGCCUUGUCUUAGAUGAUACUUUGGAUUGUGGACUUUUGAGUUAAUGCUGAAAUGAGUUAAGAGUUUGGCGGACUAUUGGAAAAGCAUGAUUGCUUUUGAAAUAUGAGGACAUCCGACUUGGGAGGGACCAGGGUGGAAUGAUAUGAUUUGUCUGUGUGCCCACCUAUAUCUCAUCUUGAAUUAUACUCCCAUAGUUCCCAUAUGUUGUGGGAGGGACCCGGUGGGAGAUAAUUGAAUAAUGGGGACAGUUUUCCCCAUUCUGUUCUCUUGAUAGUAAAUAAGUCUCAUGAGAUCUGAUGGUUUUUUAAAGGGUUUCUGCUUUUGCUUCCUCCUCAUUCUCUUCUCUUGUCUGCUGCCAUGUGAGACGUGACUCUCACCCUCCACCAUGAUUGUAAGGCCUCUCCAGCAAUGUGGAACUGUGAGUCCAAUAAGCCUCUUUCUUUUGUCAAUUGCUGAGUCUUGGGUAUGUCUUUACUAGCAACAUGAAAAUGGACUAAUACACAAAGUGAUGUUCUCCUCAUUACUCCCAGUGACUCAUUUAUACAGACUUCAUUCUUCUUUUCCCUGCAGGCUUCACUAGGUUGAAGAUCCUAGUUUCUGGAGGAUGGAGGAUGAUGAAUGUUUCCAUCAAGGGAUACACUAAGUGGUCCAUUGAACCUGAAACUAUAUACUGCCACUUUGUCACUUAGAGAUUCUCAUGCCAAAGGACCAGCAGACAAAGAAAGGACUACUAUACUAGAAAACCAGGCUUACUGCCCCCAUUGAGCUGAUCUGAUUUGCUCCUCAGGCCAUUUGGCUCAUCUCCUCUUGUUCACUUGGUACAUAAAAUGUCAGCUGAGCUAGUGUGGCCAAGGUAACAUUGAAAAUCUGUGUGGCAUGGUGAGCAUU
rnacentral:lncRNA from 1 species